rnacentral:rRNA from 1 species
GAUGAACGCUGGCGGCGUGCCUAAUACAUGCAAGUCGAGCGAACGGACCAGAAGCUUGCUUCUCUGAUGUUAGCGGCGGACGGGUGAGUAACACGUGGAUAACCUACCUAUAAGACUGGGAUAACUUCGGGAAACCGUAUCUAAUACCGGAUAAUAUUUUGACCCGCAUUGUUCAAAAGUGAAAGACGGUCUUUCUGUCACUUAUAGAUGGAUCCGCGCUGCAUUAGCUAGUUGUUAAGGUAACGGAUUACCAAGGCAACGAUGCAUAGCCGACCUGAGCGGGUGAUCGGCAACAGUGGAACUGAGACGAGGUCCAGCAUCGGAAGGGAGGCAGCGGCAGGAAUUCUUCCGCAAUGGGCGGAGGCGUGACGUAGCAACGGGGCGAGAGUGAUGAAGGUCUUCGGAGCGUAAAACUCUAUUAUUAGGGAAGAACAUAUGUGUAAGACACUGUGCAAAAAUGGCCGGUACGUAAUAAGAAGGCCCCGCCUACCUCCGU